rnacentral:rRNA from 1 species
AUUGAACGCUGGCGGCAGGCCUAACACAUGCAAGUCGAACGAGUGGCGGACGGGUGAGUAAUGUCUGGGAAACUGCCUGAUGGAGGGGGAUAAAUACUGGAAACGGUAGCUAAUACCGCAUACCAUCAGCUGGGCCCAGAUGGGCUUAGCUUGUUGGGGGGGUAACGGCUCACCCAGGCGACGAUCCCUAGCAGGUCGGAGAGGAUGACCAGCCAAACUGGAAAUGCGACACGGUCCAGACUCCUACGGGAGGCAGCAGUGGGGAAGAUUGCACAAUGGGCGCAAGCCUGAUGCAGCCAUGCCGCGUGUAUGAAGAAGGCCUUCGGGUUGUAAAGUACUUUCAGCGGGGAGGCGUUACCCGCAGAAGAAGCACCGGCUAACUCCGUGCCAGCAGCCGCGGUAAUAC